GAUGAACGCUGGCGGCGUGCCUAAUACAUGCAAGUCGAGCGAACAGACGAGGAGCCUGCUCCUCUGACGUUAGCGGCGGACGGGUGAGUAACACGUGGAUAACCUACCUAUAAGACUGGGAUAACUUCGGGAAACCGGAGCUAAUACCGGAUAAUAUAUUGAACCGCAUGGUUCAAUAGUGAAAGACGGUUUUGCUGUCACUUAUAGAUGGAUCCGCGCCGCAUUAGCUAGUUGGUAAGGUAACGGCUUACCAAGGCAACGAUGCGUAGCCGACCUGAGAGGGUGAUCGGCCACACUGGAACUGAGACACGGUCCAGACUCCUACGGGAGGCAGCAGUAGGGAAUCUUCCGCAAUGGGCGAAAGCCUGAAGGAGCAACGCCGCGUGAGUGAUGAAGGUCUUCGGAUCGUAAAACUCUGUUAUUAGGGAAGAACAAAUGUGUAAGUAACUAUGCACGUCUUGACGGUACCUAAUCAGAAAGCCACGGCUAACUACGUG
rnacentral:rRNA from 1 species